UACACAUUUGGUGGAGGAACCAGACUGGAUGUUGGAGGUGAAGCCCGUCCCACCUUGAUGGUUCUGCCCCCUUCCAAUGAGGAGCUGCAGCAGGGGAAUGCCACGCUCGUGUGCCUGGCCAACAAGGGCUUCCCCUCAGACUGGAGUCUGGCCUGGAAGGUGGACGGCAUCAGCGGCGGCAGCUGGGAGGAGAGCAGGGGCCCUGCGGUGAUGGAGCAGGACGCUCGUUACAGCUGGAGCAGCACCCUGAGGCUCUCUGCAGGCCAGUGGACGAAGGUGGGCUCUGUGACCUGUGAGGCCACCCAGGGCUCCCAGACGCUGGUCUCAGAGACACUGAGGAGGGACCAGUGUUCCCAGGACUGA